rnacentral:lncRNA from 1 species
AGUGUGUCUGGUCGAUACAUCAGGAGCGAACAGGAGCUUCCCCACCAAACCCUAACUUGUGCAAAUUGAUCAAAUUGGGGCUUCAAAUCAGUUCCAAAUCGAUUUCCAAGCACGAAAUUGUCAUCUCCAUUGAAAAGGGAGUCAUAAGGAUGAAUUUUUGAUCUCGUCAAGCUAAGUGGGAGCUGGAAAGGAUUGGAUCAAACGGGUCAAGUGCGCAAGGAAAGCUCGAACGGACGCAAACUAUAAGAACGAAUAGGAAUUUGGAUAAUUACGUCAUCAUAGAAUAUUGAAUUAAUAAUAGCAAGGCAUAAACGGGUCUAUACGUUGACUCGAGCCAGGUACAUUUUGGAUGCCGGAAGACGAUCAAGCUCAACGAAGAACCGAACACGAAUAAGAUAAAAGCUUCCGCACGUCGUUUCGUCGUAACUUUUAAACGACGAACUCAAUUAUGUUAUGUUGUAUUAUUUUAAAAUUGUAAAGUUUAAACAAACCCGUAUUUUUACAAAGUAUAUGUAGUCAUAAUUACAUGUUGUUUGUCGUAUACUUUACGAAAACCAUUAAAUAAUGACAAGGGUGU